rnacentral:rRNA from 1 species
UUCCGGUUGAUCCUGCCGGACCUGACUGCUAUCGGAUUGAUACUAAGCCAUGCGAGUCUUUGCAGUAAUGCAAGGCAUACGGCUCAGUAACACGUAGUCAACUUACCCUAUGGACGAGGAUAAUCUCGGGAAACUGAGCAUAAUACCCGGCAGACCACUUAUCCUGGAAUGGUUAGUGGUUAAAAUGAUUCGUCGCCAUAGGAUGGGACUGCGGCCUAUCAGCUUGUUGGUGAGGUAAUGGCCCACCAAGGCGAUUACAGGUACGGGCUCUGAGAGGAGAGGCCCGGAGAUGGGUACUGAGACAAGGACCCAGGCCCUAUGGGGCGCAGCAGGCGAGAAAACUUUGCAAUGUGCGAAAGCACGACAAGGUUAAUCCGAGUGAUUUCUGCUAAAGGAAUCUUUUGUUAGUUCUAAAAAUACUAGUGAAUAAGGGGUGGGCAAGUUCUGGUGUCAGCCGCCGCGGUAAAACCAGCACCUCAAGUGGUCAGGAGGAUUAUUGGGCCUAAAGCAUCCGUAGCCUGUUCUAUAAGUUUGCGGUUAAAUCUAUACGCUCAACGUAUAGGCUGCCGUAAAUACUGUAGAACUAGGGAGUGGGAGAGGUAGACGGUACUCGAUAGGAAGGGGUAAAAUCCUUUGAUCUAUUGAUGACCACCUGUGGCGAAGGCGGUCUACCAGAACACGUUCGACGGUGAGGGAUGAAAGCUGGGGGAGCAAACCGGAUUAGAUACCCGGGUAGUCCCAGCUGUAAACGAUGCAGACUCGAUGAUGCAAUGGCAUAGAGCUAUUGCAGUAUCGCAGGGAAGCCGUUAAGUUUGCCGCCUGGGAAGUACGUACGCAAGUAUGAAACUUAAAGGAAUUGGCGGGGGAGCACCACAAGGGGUGAAGCCUGCGGUUCAAUUGGAUUCAACGCCGGG